GCGCCCAGGCCCACAAAGCCGGCCAUCUGGGUGAGGCCGUGCAGGGCAGGGAUUGGGAAGGAGAGACAUUAGCUCUAGCCAGAUCGGCCGCCCAUGUCUUCAUGAUGCCGGCCUCCCUCGUGGUCCUUCAUUACCUCACACUUCGAGCUCCACUGCCGCCCUCUCCUUUCAUCUCCUCUUCGCCACCACGUGGAUGGGGACGGUACCCUCAAUCACCACCACCGUCGACGGCGUGCUCUACAUCCCUCAUCGACCCAUCGAGUCGCCCUCCCCUCGGGUCUGACCGGCUUGGUUCUAGCGGCGGCACAAGCUCCAACCGUGCAAUGGGAAGUGAAGCAAGGUGGACACAUACAGAUCAAUCAGCAACUCCUUAUCGUGUGGCUACAUCGCCGGCGGUGGUCGGCCGAGUUCAGCUUGCUGACAAGAAAGUGAAAGGGGCGCUUACCUACCUGGCACCGCCGAGCUUUCACCGCCAAUGGAGGUGAUUGUCUGCUCUCGGUUUCAUGGUGCCAAUGGAGGUGGGUGUGAAGUGAGCACACAGUUGUUCAUCGUUGUUGGAUAGGUUCUUCCUGGUCAUCUUCUUUUGUUGAGGCCUGACGUUACAAUC